rnacentral:snRNA from 1 species
UACUCGCUUCGGCGGUAGAUAUACUAAAUUGGAACGAUACAGAGAAGAUUAGCAUGGCCCCUGCGCAAGGAUGACACGCAAAAUCGUGAAGCGUUCCAUAUUUAU